CUUUGAUGAAGUUUAACCCCCCGAAGAAGUAAUGGAGCUCUUGGAUUAUUAAAUGCAGCAGCAGGAGUCAACAAGCCAACAAUACAAGCAAUGAUGACAGUCAUAUUACAAGUGCUUUCGAAGAUCAAGCAGAGCUUUCCAGCAGCAGCCAACAACAUUUUGUGCAGAAUGUAUCAGGUGCAGACGAGGCUAGAAAUUCUGUAGAUCAUGUUUUCAGAGAGAAUGAUACUAUCAACAUUUACAAUGUGUAUGAGAGGACAUUCAAGAAUAAGGACAGUCUGAAGGUACAUCCACUUUUUCGCAGUGGUGACAACUACUACAGCUGUACCUUCUGUUGCAAGACAUUCACCAAGAGUUAUAGCUUAAAGGAGCAUUUGCGUGUGCACACUGGUGAACGCCCAUUCAGCUGCACUGAAUGUAGCAAAACAUUCAAAUCAGCCACUGCUCUGAAGUACCAUAUGGGGCUACACACAGGAGAACGUCCAUUCAUCUGCUCUGUUUGUAGCAAAGCGUUCAUACAGAGUGGUCACUUAAAGGUGCAUUUGCGUAGACAUACAGGUGAACAGCCCUUUAGUUGUACUGUGUGCUGCAAGAGAUUCGUAACUACCACUCUCCUAAAGCAGCACUUGCCUUUACACUCAAGUGAACGCCCUUUCAAAUGCACAGAGUGCAGCAAGAAGUUUAAAUGGAAAGACAGCCUGACAAAGCAUUUACGUGUCCACACGGGUGAGCGCCCCUACUGCUGCACUGUGUGUAGCAAGACAUUCCAAGAUAGUAGUAAUCUAAAAAGGCAUUUGCUUGUCCACUGUGUGAAUGCUCCUUCAGUUGCAAGAUCUGUAGUAAGAUAUUUGCAAUGAACAGUAAGGAAUACAGACGUGAAUGCUUCUAGUUUGAAAACUUAGAGGAUACUGCAUAUUUUGAAAUGCUGUUGGCUGCGUAGUGUCACACAGCAGUUACCUGAUGGGAACUCUGUUAGUGGCACAUUUUUAAACGUGUCACGAAUAUUUAAAAAGGUUUGCAAACAAUAUGAAGAACCAUAUAUCUGCAGAAUUGCUUUUGUGUUGUUGUCAUAUAAAAAUUAUGUAGUUAGACAACUGCAAGCCUUUGUUGUACAGCAGAUUGCGUUAUUUCUGGUGAAUUGUACAGCUGACUGUUUUGUAACUGUGUGAAUGGCAGAUAAAAAUUACUACCUGUUUGACUGCUGGAAGAACUUCUAUGUCAUUAAAAAUACUUUAAAAUAAGAGUAUGAAACGGGUAUACCUUGUUUGUGUGCAAUGCAUUAUUUCAUCUGUUCAGCCAUAAAAAAUAUGACAACUGAAAUAGUUCUAACUAGACCCACAAGACCUACAUCACACAGAUUGGGAAAUGAUGGAUACAGGACAGAGGUGGAAGACAACAAGAUAACACUGCUACCUGAGCUGUAUGUUUUCAGUUACUUUCAGUGGUUAUUGUCAUAUGAAUCUGGAAUAGCAAAGCUGAAAUAAAAUUAGAAACUCAUUCUAAA